GGGCCGGUAGUCCUAAGGCAGAGCCCCCGGCCCAUAACCGGAGAGUUCCGGGCUCGGAUCCCGGCCGGCCCGCCA
rnacentral:tRNA from 1 species